rnacentral:misc_RNA from 1 species
AUUGACUGAGUUGAGCUUGUUUUUCAAAAAUCUUACUGCUACAAAUAUUAAGGUGCAAGAUAUAGAGCGUCUGGAAGCAUAAAUUCCCAUUAUUAUUUGCAAGUUAGAGCGUAUAUGUCCUCCUGCCUUCUUUGACUCAAUGGAACACAUUCCCAUCCAUCUACCGUAUGAGGCAAAAAUUGCAGGACCAGUACAAUAUCGAUGGAUGUAUCCUUUUGAGAGGUAAUAAAGAGUCAUUAUUUUCCUUUUAUGUUAUAAAACUCAUCAUAAACUUCCCCUAACUCAUUUGAGUAUGGUGUUUUCUAUUUUUAGAUUUUUAGGACACCUAAAGAAAAAUGUAAAAAACAAAGCAGAAGUAGAAGGCUCAAUAUAUAAUGCAUACUUAGUUGAAGAAGCA